CGUGUCCAGUAGGAUCUUGCAAAGGUGGGAUAGUUCUCCAGCCAACCUUCAGAGGACCUAUGCAAAGCCAGGAAAGACCCUUUGGAGUCCUGCAAGGUUCAAGUAGGCAGAAGGAUCCACCCUCCCCAUGGGCAACAGAUAUUUUUUUCAAGGUUUUGCUGUGGUGUCUCUGUUCUGGAGUGAAAUGAGUAUUUAACUAAAU
rnacentral:lncRNA from 1 species